rnacentral:rRNA from 1 species
CGGACGGGUGAGUAACACGUGGAUAACCUACCUAUAAGACUGGGAUAACUUCGGGAAACCGGAGCUAAUACCGGAUAAUAUAUUGAACCGCAUGGUUCAAUAGUGAAAGACGGUUUUGCUGUCACUUAUAGAUGGAUCCGCGCCGCAUUAGCUAGUUGGUAAGGUAACGGCUUACCAAGGCAACGAUGCGUAGCCGACCUGAGAGGGUGAUCGGCCACACUGGAACUGAUACACGGUCCAGACUCCUACGGGAGGCAGCAGAC